rnacentral:rRNA from 1 species
AAAGGGAAUGCUUAGUGGCGGACGGGUGAGUAACGCGUGAGUAACCUGCCUUGGAGUGGGGAAUAACAGCCGGAAACGGCUGCUAAUACCGCAUGAUGUAUCUGGAUCGCAUGGUUCUGGAUACCAAAGAUUUAUCGCUCUGAGAUGGACUCGCGUCUGAUUAGCUAGUUGGUGAGGUAACGGCUCACCAAGGCGACGAUCAGUAGCCGGACUGAGAGGUUGGCCGGCCACAUUGGGACUGAGACACGGCCCAGACUCC